AUUGAACGCUGGCGGCAUGCCUUACACAUGCAAGUCGAACGGCAGCGGACCUUCGGGUGCCGGCGAGUGGCGAACGGGUGAGUAAUAUAUCGGAACGUACCUUUCAGUGGGGGAUAACGUAGCGAAAGUUACGCUAAUACCGCAUAUUCUGUGAGCAGGAAAGCAGGGGAUCGCAAGACCUUGCGCUGAUUGAGCGGCCGAUAUCAGAUUAGCUAGUUGGUGAGGUAAAGGCUCACCAAGGCGACGAUCUGUAGCGGGUCUGAGAGGAUGAUCCGCCACACUGGAACUGAGACACGGUCCAGACUCCUACGGGAGGCAGCAGUGGGGAAUUUUGGACAAUGGGGGCAACCCGUGAUCCAGCCAUUCCGCGUGAGUGAAGAAGGCCUCGGUUGUAAGAUCUUACUAGUCAGGAACGAAACGGUAGGUCCGUAACUACGG
rnacentral:rRNA from 1 species